AAGAUAGUUGGCAGAUAAAUUUAGUUUUCAAUGUAAUAUUAAUACAACAUAAUACUUGGUGAGUGAUGUGUUCUUCUACUUGUGUCUGUAAAUGAAAGAGCCAUUUUAGUGUUAUUUCAUGUUUUGGGACCUUCGGAAUGAGUUUCUUUUGUGAGUGAUGUUGUAACUAAGAUUCGAUUGAGGAGCGGGUGGGACGGU